GGCUACGGCCAUGAUACCCUGAACAAGCCCGAUCCCAUCUGAUCUCAGAAGCUAAGCAGGGUUGGACCUGGUUAGUACUUCGGUGGGAGAUGACCUAGGAAUACUGGGUGCUGUAGGCG
rnacentral:rRNA from 1 species